UUGAAAUCACCAAAUGUACAAGAAGAUCCCAAUGGAAGCAAAGCGACAAUAUCAGCAGACCCCACAAGAUGGCACACAAGAGUAUUUUUCUCUUUUUAGGAUGACCCGGAGAAGAAGAGUUUCUGUUUCAUUUAGUUUCUCACUUUUCUCCUGAUUACUGUUCCUUCCUAUUUCUAGCUAAAGUUGCAAGGCUCUGCUUAUCUGCUGAGGGUGAAACUGGGUAAGAUUGGUUGGCAGAAGCUGGAGCUAAUAGCAGGCGCUCACUCUGCUCCCGGGAUUUGAACCUGUGACCUUUCAGUCUUACACAAUCAGUGGCAUACCAGUAUUGAAGAAUACACUUUCCUUUGGAAAUGGAAUCAGAUUCAGAAACCAAAUCCUUGAUCAUUCACAUUGACAACAAGGCAUACGAAGAUGUUAAAGUGACUGCUAGUGCCAGACCUUUCUUCAAGUUGCUGGAUGGCAACGUGAUUUUCUUCUGGUACAAAUGGCUAGCAUCAAUCAUCUCCACAAAAGUUCGCGCUAAAAAGAGAAAAAAUGUAAAUGAAGUUACCAAUAUGAAUUUCAUCACCUACCUAUUUGGAAAAUGUGGACUGAAGCUUUACAACAUCACUGUAGUCAGACCAUCAGAUGGAUAUAUUGCUGAAUGUUCAACUCCAUUGUGCUGUACUUGGGUAAUUGAAGAGAAGGGAAUAUAUCAAGAAGAAAAUCCUACAAACCACUGCAAAUUCAAGUCAAUGUCUAAUAGUCUGAUAGGAAAGAGAAUUAAUUGUGAUUCCAUUGUAUAAGCCAAAUUAUUUUGUGCAAUAUGACUGCUACAAUUGGUUUUAUUUCAACAUAUGCAGUAGAGUCUCACUUAUCCAACAUAAACGGGCCGGCAGUACAUUGGAUAAGCAAAAAUGUUGGAUAAUGAGGGAUUAAGGAAAAGCUAUUAAACGUUAAAUUACGUUAUGAUUUUACAAAUUAAGCACCAACACAUUCAUGUUUUGCAACAAAUUGACAGAAAAAGUAGUUCAAUACAUGGUAAUGUUAUGUAGUAAUUACUGCAUUUAUGAAUUUAGCACCAAAACAUUGCAAUGUAUUGAAAACAUUGACUACAAAAAAAUGGGCUACUAACAAAUUGAC